ensembl:lncRNA
AUCCUUGUCGGUGUGGCUAGAACACAAGGUGCUGGUGUUCCUCCGGCCCACUCCUCUCUCAGGUGUGUUAGCAGAGGCAUCCAGCCAAGUCACUGGUGAUGCUACAGACCCUGCGGACAACUUCAGAGGGAGACAAGUCCCUUCAUAGGGGAGAUAAGCCAACUGGAACUGGACUUUUUUCAGUCUGCUGUGAGGUGGCCCACCUUUUGUAGCAAGCUGGGAAGAGAAGCUUUCUGACCCAAUAAGAAAAGGAGACGUGUUUUGAAAAUCCUAUCUGGAAAACAGUGAAGCUGAUCAGCAAGAAAAAAGUAGCACACCUGCUUUUCCAAAUGUAAUGCAUGGAAAGAAGAAUCUCACCCCACAUCCAAAGUUGUAGGAAACACAAUGCUGAGGGCCUGCUAUGCUUUGAGAUGACUGCGAUUUGGUAGAUACUUGGGCUCCUACGUGUGGAUUUAAGAGCAUGAUUUUAAGCUUUAAAAACUUGGGACAAUUUCAUCUGCUGGUGCCAAAUAUUACUUCCUUUAACAGGAUCAUUUACAGGAUGGUAUGUUUGAAUGCCAAGAAAUGGUUGUCACUAUACUGAAACAAAAAGCUUAACUCUUCAGUAGGUGUAAACAGUUAUAAGGAUAAUUACAUCAUUACUAAAACUACUGAUUCUUAUCAAUUAAAAAACUGUACCAUGGAACAUUCUGUUGUUUUACUAGCCUUGCCUUGUUUUCUGAAGACCACUGAUAAGUUGGCUGAAUUUUGACCUUAUAGCAGACCAAAGAAAGAGAUAUCAGAGAGCACCAUUUUUAUGAGAGCUGAAAGCACGAUUUAGAGUUGUAUUUGAGUAUUGUGAUGAGUUAAUAACUGUGGAAUUGACUCAGAAGCUUUGGUAGUGGAGAUUAGAGUCAGGAAAAUAGUCAAAUCUGGUUGUUAAAGCAAGGAAGUUCUGUCUCAGAACUGGAUUUUAAAUUUAAAGGCAAGAAGCUUGUCUCUUUGUACCAUAGGAGAGAUGAAAAAUAGCAUUAUAAUGCAGCUCUUGUGUUACCGUAUGAUAUUUUUCUGACAUAUUUUUAUGAUAAUACAGUAGAGUUACACUAGAAAAAUACUUUGUAGUUGUUGCAUGCUUUUUUUCAUAUCCGUGUUGUUCCCACCUUUUGAGUAUGUUUUUAAAAUAUAGCCAUUAUUUUAUUUACUGGGCUUUGGGAGACCUGAACAAGUCCUCGCCACAUCCAACCCUGGAACCGGGAAGUAAAAGCAUGCUGAAGUCUGCUGCCUCACUCAGAACCAAAAAUAAAUCAUAGGACAUCCAUCAGCUCUGAAUAACUUAAGAGUAAACAACUAUUACGUGUGCCAGAAUGAGCAGACUGUAUAAAGACGGACGAAUAUAUCCUGAAGCGUUUGUCUGUUUACUCUCCUGAACCCUUUAAUCGGAGAGCUUUGGCUUUCCUUUAACACUGAGAAACCAAACAGCACUGUGAACUCUUAACCUGUGAGAGGACAUCCACCGAUUGUAUUUUUGUCAGAGAAAAAAUUAUAGAACUGCCUAAAAAAGGUAUGUAAUUUAUUUGUUCUGUAGCAACAGGCACCAUGCCAGGUAGGCAGUUUGCUUUCACAAAUCCAUUUUGCUGUGUUUUACUUGCCUUUACUUUCUUUACUUUUGUCACAAACAUUUAGAGGGAAAAAUGAGGCUGGAAUCUGUAAUAGGGAUUCCUGAUAACUUGUGUGCUUUGCACUGUGAGAAUAUUCUAGGAAAUUGCUUAUAAAUUUGCUCGAGGCAUUAUAGCACAAGUGCUUCAGUCUAUGGAAUUUGUAACUGCUGUUUUAGGUUGCUGUCAAUUGCUUAUGUUAAAGCAGAACUUAUUUCAAGCUUGACAAACAGGAAAUGUAUUUUUAAGUACAAUGGAACUGCUGCGGUUCUCUCAGCUGAAUUUCUGGUGUGUUGAUUAAAUUCUUAAAUAAAGCAGGUGUUAG